rnacentral:rRNA from 1 species
UACGUAGGGUGCAAGCGUUAAUCGGAAUUACUGGGCGUAAAGCGCGCGUAGGCGGCUUUGUAAGUUAGAGGUGAAAGCCCGGAGCUCAACUCCGGAACUGCCUUUAAGACUGCAUCGCUUGAAUCCGGGAGAGGUGAGUGGAAUUCCGAGUGUAGAGGUGAAAUUCGUAGAUAUUCGGAAGAACACCAGUGGCGAAGGCGGCUCACUGGACCGGUAUUGACGCUGAAGUGCGAAAGCGUGGGGAGCAAACAGG